UCAGUCAGCGCAGCGUAAUAAUAGAAACUAACCAGGAUUCCCUUAGUAACGGCGAGUGAACUGGGAUGCCAAUAUAUAAUAUGUACCUCGCGUGCAUAAAUUAGCCCGUCGAUACUAUCCUAGCGUAUGUCACCGGUCUUCGGGUCGGUACUCAAAUACGCGGGAAUUGUAGCAUCGUAAUAAUUAAAAAUACACAGCACACACACACACACACACAUAAGAACCCACGCCAACAUGCGUACACCACUUGUAAACACACAGCGUCUCCGCGUUGGAAAGCAAGUAUAUAUCCUCUUUGGAUAUGCCAUAGAGUGUGACAGCCACGUUUCACCCAUAUGAUAGUUACGCACACACACACACAUACACCAAUGGCGCGGCGUGCGAGUGCACAACGUAUAUAUACUAUAACCUGAGUCGAGUUAUUUGGGACUAUAGCUCUAAUAGUUUGGUUGGUGGUAAUGACACAUCAAAGGCUAAAUAUUGGUUAGUCGAUGCAUAUUGCGGAGACCGAUAGCAUACAAGUACCGUAAGGGAACGAUGAAAAGCACCCUAUUGAGUUCACGGCGCAGACUCGACAUUCGUGUCUUGUCCAGCGCCCAACAACUACAGUGGGAGUGAAAGAGAGAGU
rnacentral:rRNA from 1 species